rnacentral:tRNA from 1 species
UGGUAAGUUAUUUAAGUAAAACAAAUGAUUUCGACUCAUUAGAUUAUGAUAAUCAUACUAACCAA